GACGAACGCUGGCGGCGUGCUUAACACAUGCAAGUCGAACGGUGAAGCGCCUUCCUUUUUGGUGGGUGUGGAUGAGUGGCGAACGGGUGAGUAACACGUGAGUAACCUGCCCCCUUCUUCUGGAUAACCGCAUGAAAGUGUGGCUAAUACGGGAUAUUCUGGGUCUGUCGCAUGAUGGGUCUGGGAAAGAUAUUGUUUCGGUGGGGGAUGGGCUCGCGGCCUAUCAGCUUGUUGGUGGGGUGAUGGCCUACCAAGGCGGUGACGGGUAGCCGGCCUGAGAGGGUGGACGGUCACACAGGGACGGAGCCACGGACCAGACUACGACGGGAGGCAGCAGUGGGGAAUAUUGCACAAUGGGCGCAAGCCUGAUGCAGCGACGCCGCGGGAGGGAUGGAGGCCUGCGGGUUGUGAACCUCUUUCGCCAGUGAAGCAGGCCUGCCUCGUUUGUGGGUGGGUUGACGGUAGCUGGAGAAGAAGCGCCGGCUAACUACGUG
rnacentral:rRNA from 1 species